CGCGGGGUGGAGCAGUCUGGUAGCUCGUCGGGCUCAUAACCCGAAGGUCGUUGGUUCAAAUCCAGCCCCCGCAA
rfam:Pseudomonas taeanensis MS-3 contig_01, whole genome shotgun sequence.